AGUGAACGCUGGCGGUAGGCCUAACACAUGCAAGUCGAACGGCAGCACAGUAAGAGCUUGCUCUUACGGGUGGCGAGUGGCGGACGGGUGAGGAAUACAUCGGAAUCUACUUUUUCGUGGGGGAUAACGUAGGGAAACUUACGCUAAUACCGCAUACGACCUACGGGUGAAAGCAGGGGAUCUUCGGACCUUGCGCGAUUGAAUGAGCCGAUGUCGGAUUAGCUAGUUGGCGGGGUCAAGGCCCACCAAGGCGACGAUCCGUAGCUGGUCUGAGAGGAUGAUCAGCCACACUGGAACUGAGACACGGUCCAGACUCCUACGGGAGGCAGCAGUGGGGAAUAUUGGACAAUGGGCGCAAGCCUGAUCCAGCCAUACCGCGUGAGUGAAGAAGGCCUUCGGGUUGUAAAGCCCUUUUGUUGGGAAAGAAAAGCAGCAGGUUAAUACCCCGCUGUUCUGACGGUACCCAAAGAAUAAGCACCGGCUAACUUCGUG
rnacentral:rRNA from 1 species